rnacentral:rRNA from 1 species
GACGAACGCUGGCGGCGUGCUUAACACAUGCAAGUCGAACGAUGAAGCCGGAGCUUGCUCUGGUGAAUUAGUGGCGAACGGGUGAGUAACACGUGAGUAACCUGCCCUUGACUCUGGGAUAACUGCGGGAAACUGUAGCUAAUACCGGAUACGACCCUCGGAGGCAUCUCCUGGGGGUGGAAAGAAUUUCGGUCAAGGAUGGACUCGCGGCCUAUCAGCUAGUUGGUGAGGUAACGGCUCACCAAGGCGACGACGGGUAGCCGGCCUGAGAGGAUGGCCAGCCACAUUGGGACUGAGAGACGGCCCAGACUCCUACGGGAGGCAGCAGUGGGGAAUCUUGCGCAAUGGCCGAAAGGCUGACGCAGCGACGCCGCGUGGAGGAUGACGGCCUUCGGGUUGUAAACUCCUGUUGCCCGGGACGAACAGCCGGUUUCGACCGGCCUGACGGUACCGGGUGAGGAAGCACCGGCUAACUCUGUGC